UGAAGUCAGAAAAAAAGUUUUUUCCUUGUUUUCAAGGACAGUUGUUGGUUCAGAAUAAUAGCUUGAAAGUAAACAAGCACAUCUCACCACCACCAAUGAAAACAUCAUCUUUAACAAGAGUUCUAUCAUCUGUGAAUGAGACUACAUCUAAAGUUAGAAUCAAUUUAUAGUACAAUGGCAGCCACAACAACUAAAACAUGCCUGUUGAAAGCAUUAGUACCAAAAUUUGGUGCCAACCCCUGUAUACAUAUGUAAUGAGCAAAAGGAGGACACGGAAAUGCCAAGAACACUGGGAUCGACGAAAGAUGAUUAACAGCAAAGCACAAACAAAGCUUUCCAUUUGAUUCAGUCUGGAACCCGGACCUCCAAUGUCAAUAAAUUUGGACAAGGAUAUCACUGAUUUCACCCCGUCCUGGGCAUCAAAGAUUUUCAAGCUUUCCAACAGUUAAAUAUCUACAGAGGGAAAACUCAUCGUCUGCAUCCACCCAGAGAAUAUAGCUGACCAAAGUGCUUGCAAACCAUGGAAAUCCCUACUAGACUGAAGAGGUGGAGGUCGGAGACUCUGAACACAUCAACCUUGCUCACUUACCACCCACCCAGUUUGAGGUACGCAAUUUAAUGCAUGAUGUCCUGGCGCUUCCCUUUCAAAAUCACCAGAUUGCAGCUUUUCCUGAUCUUAGUGCCACGAUUGCUUGAACCUGAAGCUCUCACUGUCCCAUCCUCCCU
rnacentral:misc_RNA from 1 species